GUGUUCUGCUCUUUUUUUUCCCACUGUGUACAUAAUGAUGAGGUUCGCGAUGUCGUGAAUAAAAUGUUGCGUAAAAAGAAGGACAAUCUCCAGCAAUUCAAGCAGGAGCCCAAAAAAGUGACGGAAGAGGCUUGCAAGGAAACACCAGUGCAACGUUUACAGUGUUGAUCGAGUCGAGGACAAAUGAAAAACACACACAUUUACACAACAGUCGAGGCGAAGAAGGAUGAAAGCCGAUGAAGGAGCCAGUCUUCUGCAGCGAGUUUUAAAAAAACAUAGCAUUUAGAUUUAAAAAAAAAGAAUAUAUAAUUAAGGUUGAAAGAUUUUUCGAAGAAGCGAGGCCCACAAGACGAAGCAAUGAUUUCAACAAAUAUUUACAUUUUUGAUAUAACUCCAAAAACCUAGACUCGAUUUUCCGCCGCUCUCUCGUGUCCGGUUUUCGCUCGGUAGCUUCUUAAACCGCGCACAGAAGUUGAAGAGAGACAUUUGAACGUAGAGGUGGUCUUUAUCAGAGACCGAGGCCAAUAUUCUCUCUGGCCUAGCUAGCAAAUUGUUUAUCAACUUGCGAAAAAAGAAACCAA